rnacentral:lncRNA from 1 species
GCGGAGACGGAGAGAGGCAGCUUGGAGAGCAGAGAAAGGCAGAGAGAGCGAGAAAUAGAGACAGUCUGAGAGACAGACAGACAGCCAGAGAGAGCGGGAGGGAGGAGGGCGGAGGAGGAGGAGCAGGAGGACUACGCGGGGCGCGUUCCCUCCCAGCAGCCGGGCGCCCGCGUCGCUGCCACCGCCGGAAGACAGACGUCCCCCAAAACCCCUCGCCUGGCUCGGACCCACGGAGCCGGCAGCCCAGCACUCCGAUGGGAGCUUGCCUGAUUGUCAACCCAUCGGCCUGGACCCCAGAGCCCACCCAGCUGAGCGUGUGCAGAGGGCCCCGAGUGCGGGGCGACGCUCAGGCCGUUGCAGAGACCACCCUGGAGAUGCUGAUGAAGACAGGCCUUUCCUGCUGAGCCCAGCCUAUCUUCGCAGCCUGCUCAGGCGCUGUCCACGCCCCGAGGCCUGGGCUCAGGCCGAAGUUGCUCCACAGCACCCCCAGCUGACAGCCAGCGACUGGCAGAGCCCCCAGGCACGGGGGCCCUCUCUCUUCCAGGUCAGCCGGGUGUCUGCGCUGGACAGAGCGCUGAGGGAACCGGGGGUGGUACCUGGAGGAGGCCGGGCCGGUGGGCAGGGGUUGAGCUG